AUUGAACGCUAGCGGCAGGCUUAACACAUGCAAGUCGAACGAGUGGCGGACGGGUGAGUAAUGUCUGGGAACCUGCCUGAUGGCGGGGGAUAACUACUGGAAACGGUAGCUAAUACCGCAUACCAUCAGAUGUGCCCAGAUGGGAUUAGCUUGUUGGUGGGGUAACGGCUCACCAAGGCGACGAUCCCUAGCUGGUCUGAGAGGAUGACCAGCCACACGGGAACUGAGACACGGCCCAGACUCCUACGUGAGGCAGCAGUGGGGAAUUUUGGACAAUGGGCGAAAGCCUGAUGCAGCCAUGCCGCGUGUAUGAUGAAGGCCUUCGGGUUGUAAAGUACUUUCAGCGGGGAGGCGUUACCCGCAGAAGAAGCACCGGCUAACUCCGUGCCAGCAGCUGCGGUAAUUC
rnacentral:rRNA from 1 species